ACAACACUGCAGAGCACAGAGUCGCUUCUCUUUGGUCGAGGAAGCUCUACAGCAGGAGGGCAACAAGGGUCUUCGCCGAAAAAGUCAAGGAGCACGGCAGCCAAAUGAAGAGUGGGCUCCGUCCAUUGGCAGGGUCUGUUGAAGGCCCUCCUCUUAGUGUAUUUGACAGGCUGUGCUGGACACUCGAUAUGAGAGGGUGUCAGUUUGUCAAAUACCCCAAGAGAGGGGUCACUGUUCAUCCUGCAAGCUGCGCAACAUCAGCAAGAGAUGACUGCUCCACCCACACCAAUUUUCUCUGAGCAACUAAAAAUAAUGCAUUGUGAAAUAAUAACUUGAACAUUUUCAAUAUAUUUUAAGGGUUUUUUUUUUUUAAAGAUAAUGAACUGAAUAAAUGAAACAUGCACACUGAUUGUUAAAAGAUA
rnacentral:lncRNA from 1 species